CAAGUUGAAAAUUUUCGUCACAUUUUUCGCAGGAACUACAAUACAAGGAUUUCUGAAAUUUGUUUUCAGGAUUUAUAUAAGUCAGCUAUACCGUGUGAUGCGUUUUCAGAUUCAUCACUCGACAACUUCCUGUUUACCGAACACUUGUAUGAUUUUACACAUGAUAGCCAACUUGAAAAUUUUCGUCACAUUUUUCUCAGGAACUACAAUACAAGGAUUUCUGAAAUUUGGUUUCAGGAUUUGUAUAAGUCAGCUAUACCGUGUGAUGCGUUUUCAGAUUCAUCACUCGACAACUUCCUGUUUACCGAACACUUGUAUGAUUUUACACAUGAUAGCCAACUUGAAAAUUUUCGUCACAUUUUUCUCAGGAACUACAAUACAAGGAUUUCUGAAAUUUGGUUUCAGGAUUUAUAUAAGUCAGCUAUACCGUGUGAUGCGUUUUCAGAUUCAUCACUCGACAACUUCCUGUUUACCGAACACUUGCAUAUUUUUACACUAUUAAUAUUAUCCACUUGCGGCGGGGGUAUCAUCAGUGAGCAGUAGCUCGCAGUUUCACUUGUUUUUAAUGUUAAUGUUUUUCAACAAAAAAAUAUUUUUAUUAAUUAGGAACUUUAUUAUCAUGUUUUACUAAAUAAAUAAAUAAAAAUAUAUUUCUACCUGCCUACCAAUAUUUUUUAUUCAUGGGUACGGGAACAGCAAACAAUAACUUAAGUUUGGCCUACCUUUUCAAUUUUUGGAGUGUCAUAAUCCUUAACAAAAUCAUCGACUAGCUUCUGAUGGACGAAAAACCUAUCUUCAUGUUUUGGUGCAAUCCAG
rnacentral:lncRNA from 1 species